UCUGGUCAAAGAUGUCUUCCUGGUGAAACGCAGCGGGUUUCAUGUCAACAUGUCCCUGUUUCGGCUCUGCUCGCUUUCCAAGGGGCUCCCCGGUCGCUUACUGCAAGAACAGCACAGGCUCAGUCUGUGUCACGGUUGCCUAAAACUCAGGAGACACGUCCACGACGCAAGACCAGCAGAACAAGCAAUAUGAUCACCCCUAGACACUGUUACCCUGCAUGAUUAUUUUCAAUCUUUUAGUUCAGAGAGACCCUGAGUUUUGUUUUGGAGGAGUUACUUAGCAGGGAUCCCGAAAAAGGAGGACGGGAAAAAGAGCACGUGGUAGCAAACCCAGCUGUUGGAUGAUAAGAUUGCUGUUCAUCUCAGACCAUGCGGCUGUGCCAAUCUGAGUAGUACCGAGUCAUGUUGUGCAGGAUCACACAGUACUAGACUAUAUACUGUACAAGCCCCCCAAGCUUCAUAAAGGUUCACCUGGCUUGUGCAAGCCUAAUUACAGUCUCUCGGUAUACAGGGAUGGAAAUAAGACUCACCCAUAAGAUUCACCCAUUCCAGGUUCAAUAUGAGUUUGAUUAGCCACUGUUUCUAGAUAAGAAACUCAAGUGUGUCUUAUUAAACUAGUAGUGUAACCAAGAAUAAAUCAAACUGCUAUACAAUGGGAGUCUUAUUUCCAUUCUUGGUGUAUACUAUAGACAACCUCUGAGCACCUGUAGUCUUGUUUCUUCCCCAGUUCUGGAUGCCAGGAAUCAGCAGCUGCAGAUGGACGAUGUGCUGGAUGUGAAGCGCUCAGAGGUGCAGUUUGUGAGGGCGUCCCAGGUGGAAGGCACCCCAGUCAAGUCAAAGACACUGGCCAAGGAGAGGGAAUCCCUGGGUGCCAGGAAGGGGGGG